rnacentral:lncRNA from 1 species
CUCAUCUCAACCCAAGCUGCUCAGCAGCGUCCUUUUUCUCUGUGAUUUACAGAGUAAGGACCAGACCGGGGGCCACGAGGGGCCGGCUUGUGCCUGCAGUGCUUUGAAGGAUGUUUGUGUUCGGUGGGCUGAUGCGUAUCGAAUGCAAGCCAGCUCCCACUGCCGGCUCUGCCAGCCCCGUGGUGCUGCCCUUUGACGGAUAGAGCCUCCCCUCCCCGAAUUUCUGAUUUCACACUGAUGCACAAACAUUCUUUGGCAACUUGAGCCCAUUGUAUUACAGCGGUUACAUUCCUUAAGCAUGUGCCCCUGAGAACGCAGCGGUGAUAUUUAUUACAGAAGUAUCAAUGCGGUAGCAACGCUGUGGGUAUCUGGCCGUGGCUGCACGGUCCCACAAGACUUUGAGAUGGCAACAAAGCGCCUUCAGGCUGCAGAUUGGCCACGCCACAAGCAGCGCAGGGCCGAGGAAGUGCUGCAGGUCCCUGUGUGUGCAACAAAGCAACACUCGCGUGGCCCAGAGGCACUCUGAUGUCCCGCUUGCAGCAUGCUGUAGGGCUCAGCUGCUGGACCCGAGAAUGCCCACUGGGUCCGGCAGCAGCUUGGGGAAGAAAGGUCCCAGGAAGGGAAGCAGCUUUGGCAAAUGCAAGGGUUUAAUUGUUCUUUGCUAAGUGGGAGAGCUGGAGCAGGGCGGCGUUGCUGGGAUCUGUAACAAUUCUGCGUCUGAUCCGCAAGCCUUUGCUUCAGAAACUGCGUGAUGUAGUCGCUUGUGAGUUAAGAUCUAGUUUCAAAUGUCUGAAGUUAUUAUUGAUGCUUGAAAAGGUUACAUCUGCAACUCAUUUUCUAUGUCAUUGACGUUCUUCUCUGACAAAUAAUUUCAGAAAUAUGCAGCAAAAUGUUUUGGCCUACGAAUGCUGCAGCUCACCAAGUGUGCAGACCACAUCUUUACACAUUUGGUAAGAAGAAACUUAACUCCUCACGUGCUCUCGCUGCUCUGCGUGCCUCGGCACGAGCCACAGCAGCCCUCCUGCUCAGCCCAUCCUCACUGAUGGCGGGAGGCACGGGGGUCCCAGCCCCAUUGGUGGCCAGAGCCCAACAUCCUACAGCGUGUGGAUGAGCUGGCACAUCCCUCGUUGCACGGUGAAAACCCAAGGGAAUAAAGCAGGCUGCGAUUCGACCCAGAGCCACAUGGACGCCCUCCCAGCUGGCAUCCCCAGGCAGCACUGUGCUGCCCUUGGUGCCGACUGCCUCCUGGACUCCAAGGACCAUCUCCUGGCUCACAGCUGGGCAGGCUCCCACUCGGAGCUGCUGCACUGGGCAGGCUCGCUGGCAGCAGCACUCACCUGCACCUAAGUGAGAGCACGAGGCCUGGAUGCCUGCUAGACCUGGUUGGCCCUGGCAGGAGGCAGGAUGGACACGACUGUCAGCCUUUGUCUGCAGGCAGGUGCACCGUGGUCACGCUGAUGGAGAGAGUGAGGGAGGGUGUAUAUAGGUUUGUAGGGGGUAUACUGGGGGCGUGUUCCAUGCUGAGAGGGCUGAUUCAGUUGCAUAAAUGCCAGCAGCCUGCUGCUUUCACAGAGAUUGCCUCCCAGACGUGUUCUCUGGAGAGAGGGUGGACAGCAUAGGGUGAUGGAGAUGCUGACUAUCCCUUCCUGAGGUCAGGACCCUCUCCUUAUCCAGCAGUGGUACAGAUGGGGUAGCAGCAGCAGCAGCAAGGGUCUCCCUGGGUUCUGCUCCUGUUCAGCCUCUAAGGUCACAGUGGGCUGGGUGUGAGAGGCAGGGACCUGACCAGACACAUCCAGCUGUGGCAAAUGCAUCCCUGUGUGGUUCCCCAAGAAGGGCCAUGUAGGGUUUUAUUCGCAGCCCAGCCCGGGCUCAGCAUGGAGAACAGGGCUGGCAGGGCUGCACUGGGGAGGGAAUGGAGUAACCUACAGCUGGGGAAGCUGAGGCAGGGGUCUGAAAUGCCAUGUGCCCUCUGCAGAGUUCUUCCAGGGCGUAGCAGUGCCAUGUGCAGGGCUUCAGCCCUAUUGUCAGGGGCUCUGAGUGCUGCAUGGAAAAGAAGUUAUUUUAAGGGCAAGAAUUUGUCUCCAGGGGUCUUCAUGCCAGCACCGUGGCCUUUUCCUUUCCUCUGUGCACCCCAUGCUUCUGCUUGUGUGCUUAGCUCCUGCCUGGUCUGGUGUGGAGGCCUUUGUGGACCACGGGGAUGGCCUGUGAUAGUAAGAAAAUGGGUCCAUCAAAUGCAAGUGGGUCCAUUUUGUCCAUGGAGAUGCGUUGUCUUUCCUCCCGAGGCCUGCUGGGGGUCACCCCCGCUUGGUGCAGCACAGGAUCUCAGGCAUUUUCUGUAAAAGCUCUCUGCUAUCAUCAGCAUUAACAGCUGGGAGCUGCAAAGUGCUCUGGGAUUGCCACGAAGUGUAGUGGAAGUGUGAGAGCUGAUGAAUCUGUUGCCCAGGAGGGAGAUUGUAGAGCUGCUCAUUUACCUUUGUUAGGCAGCAAGCGGCUUGUCUGGGCACAGCCAUGCCGUGGUGAAGAGUUGAAGGGCCCCAGCAGUGCCUGCUGACAGCUCCAGCACAACAGGGGGUGGGGGAUUUCCCUGCAGCAGCCCCAAACCAUGGAUCCAGAGCAGUGCUUGUGAGAACCCUGGGAUGCACUCCUGACUCGUGGAAUGAACCUCUGCCGUGCAAUGGGGAGGGCUUGCCGAGGUAUCUCCUGCAACUCACUACCCAAAGGAGAGAGGCACCACAUACUUCUCCCUGUCUGAUCUGUAAGAUGCCACUGCAGUCAUUAUGGCUUUUUUGUCCUGGUUUUUUUUUUUUUGCUCUUAAUGUGUGAAUGCACUCCGUUCAAGGCUAAGCUUUCCAUUAAGCCACAUAAAGUUGAAAUGCCCACGGAAAGCAAAACGGCCACCUGCCCUAAGCUAAAAACCUGAGGCUGUGCAGAUUCUCCUCCCAGUCUCUACAGAGCAGCUCUCACUGCUGCUGGGUUGGUCGGUGUGGGUCCGGUGGCAGCGUGGUGUCCUUGGAGCCCAUCUGGUGCUGCUCCCACUGCCAUUCCCCGUGAGUGCUGGGCAUGUGCCAGAGGGCUGCAAGUGAGGGCUGCUGUGUGGUGUUCCAUCACAUCCACACUUCUUGGUGUCCCCAUGGUGUGAGCCCGGCCGGUGUGGCCUCGGGGCUCCUCCUGAGGCAGCGGCGGUCUAAAAACACUGAUGAAAAGCUGAUUAAUCCUUGUAAGUGAGCAGCUAUAGCUCCUCUCCAGAACCGAAGAGAUUACCACUGAUUUGUCAUCCUGAUUGUUUCAGCGAGAGGUGCAAUUAGUUGCUCUAAUUUAGCUUCGCUGCUCGCUGAGUGGCAUGACAACUGAGAUGCAAUCAGGAGCUCCGCACGCAACGCAGCCACCGAUGGGUGCAGCUGUGCCCACCACCAUUUUGCACACUGAGGGUGGGCCCAAAAUGGUGGAGUGCCGUGUGCUCAUAUGUGUGUGUGUGUGUGUGUGUGUGUGUGUGUUCGACUCUGAGACCAGCAGGGCUCCCUAUGGAGCAGGCUCUAAGGCACGGGGUCGUGGCUGAGCACCCUGGAGGAUGCUGAGCACACCAUUGCCAGGUGCAAUAAAAUUAAUACUAGCUACGGGAGAGGCUGCACAUUUUGCUCAAGGCCCUGUCUGAGUCCAGUUGUUGGUUUGGAAGAGGAGCCGAGCUGCCAAGGGAAGCCCGGAGUGUGGGGCACCCGAUGGGCUGGCGCUCCCACUCCAGGCAGAGGGGAGGGAACGCAGCGGUUGUAUGUCCAUGUCCUGCAAAACAAAAGAAUCUAAAAUGAACAAAAUAAAGACGAUGCUUUAAAAACAAAAAUGCCCUCAGGCUGUUUCUUGGUUUGAAGCUGUCUUUUUUUUUUUUUUUCCUCCCUCUCCCAGGCAUUUUGUUUGCAGAGCGAGCUGGCCGUGCUCGCCAACCCGUGGCUGUGUGCAGGCCCCUGGCCAAGCGCGGUGCAGCUGCUGGGCUCGUGUUCCCCGUGUCACCCCAAGGUCAUGCAUCGCCCCAGUCCCUCUGCUUGGCCGUCAGCUGUUGUCCACCACACAGCAGGCAGCACUGUCCUGCCUUC